GACGAACGCUGGCGGCGUGCUUAACACAUGCAAGUCGAACGGAGUGGCGAACGGGUGAGUGACUCGCGGGUGACCUGCCCUGCACUUCGGGGUAAGCAAGGGAAACUGGGUCUAAUACAGGAUAGUGGGGGCUGGGGGAGCGGCCUAUCAGCUUGUUGGUGGGGUAAUGGCCUACCAAGGCGGCGACGGGUAGCCGGCCUGAGGGGGUGGACGGCCACAUUGGGACUGAGGCACGGCCCAGACUCCUACGGGAGGAAGCAGUGGGGAAUAUUGCACAAUGGGCGGAAGCCUGAUGCAGCGACGCCGCGUGGGGGAUGACGGCCUUCGGGUUGUAAACUCCUUUCACCAUCGACGCGGUAGAUGGAGAAGAAGCACCGGCUAACUACGUGCCAGCAGCCGCGGUAAUUC
rnacentral:rRNA from 1 species